ACCACUUGUUGCCUCGGCGGAUCAGCCCGCUCCCGGUAAAACGGGACGGCCCGCCAGAGGACCCCUAAACUCUGUUUCUAUAUGUAACUUCUGAGUAAAACCAUAAAUAAAUCAAAACUUUCAACAACGGAUCUCUUGGUUCUGGCAUCGAUGAAGAACGCAGCAAAAUGCGAUAAGUAAUGUGAAUUGCAGAAUUCAGUGAAUCAUCGAAUCUUUGAACGCACAUUGCGCCCGCCAGUAUUCUGGCGGGCAUGCCUGUUCGAGCGUCAUUUCAACCCUCAAGCACAGCUUGGUGUUGGGACUCGCGUUAAUUCGCGUUCCCCAAAUUGAUUGGCGGUCACGUCGAGCUUCCAUAGCGUAGUAGUAAAACCCUCGUUACUGGUAAUCGUCGCGGCCACGCCGUUAAACCCCAACUUCUGAAUGUUGACCUCGGAUCAGGUAGGAAUACCCGCUGAACUUAAGCAUAUC
rnacentral:rRNA from 1 species